UUCAGAGGCAUAACACGAGUAUAUGACGUAUAAAAUAGAAGCAAAGGUGGGCCGAGAUGGAGGACCUGCCGGCGUGACCCUCGGGUGACUUGCACGAGGACACAAGAAGAAGAAGCAAAUAUCAUGACGCCCCGCAGGAAGAACAAGAAUACAUCCACUGAUGGGGAAGACAGUGCAAAUCUCACCAAGAAAAGAGGGAGAAAUAAGGACAACUCCAGCCCACCUGCUGCAUCCCCACCAACUGUUCGUCGCUCCCAGAGGAGGACCUUGGCACAGGCCAGCCCAUCUCAGGAUGAAUGUGAAGCAACUCCUAAAAAGUCUCGUCAGGCAGGUCCCAGUCCAGAAACUCCUUCCAGAGUCAGUCCUCGAGGGAAGAAGGAAAACAGCUCUCCCAUUCCUUCCAGAACAUCCCCCAGGGGUGACCGGAGAAGUCUCAGGGGCAGCAGCACUGACUCUGGUGCUAGCAAUGUGAGCAAUGCUGCCAUCAACUGUGCUUCAGCAGACCGUGGUGCCUCUUCACCAGCCCGCAGGCGAACUCGUAGAGAAAGCAACAGUUCAUCUAUUAGUGCAACUUCAGACACCUCAUCAAUCACACCCACAACUCCUCGAAGGGGCCGGGGAAGUAAAAGGAAGGUGUCAGAUAAGUCAGAUAAAGGGGAGGUGGAGUCUUCCAAGGAGGCCAAUGGACCAUCCCCUCAGUACUCCCCCAACACCAAGAGGAGGAGAGGGAGAUCCCAGGCUGAAAUUUCACCAUUAACCACCAAUGGCAAAAGUGAAGAACAUGUGAGACCAAAAAGAAGGAUAUGCAAGACAUUCUCACCACAAAAAGUUCUGGAUGAAGGUGUGGAUGAAACAAUAAAAUGUCUGGCAGGUAGGGAGGAGGAGGAUGUCAAGAACAGUGUAGACAGUGCAAAGAAGUUGGAAAAUUUCAAGAUUGAGAAUGGAAAUGAUGCCAGCGCAGAAACAGAUGAUGGUGCACAUGUAUUGACGUCAGCUAGUGCUACCUGUGAUGGAGAAGACCUGAGUGCAGAGGUGAACUCCAAAGACCGUAACAAAUUGCUGGAGAGGGAGACUUGUAAAGAUAGCAAGGAUACACUUGAUGUAACCAGCCAAGGUGAGAGUCAGAACUUACCAUCCUGUGAUACUGAUCCAAGGACAGGCAGUUCAAGCCCACUACUGGAGAAGCAUCGUUCGCCUGCACACACUUGCAAAACUAUCAUUAGUUCUAGUCAUGUUAACAGUGCAAAGAGAACACGUAGUAUUAGUGAUUCAUCAAACCACGAGAUUGCAGAGCAGACACUCACUUCCAAAAAAACAAAACUGUGUGCAAGUGUACCUGAUGAUAGCAGUGAUAGAGUGAAGUGUGAAAAUGGCAGUGUGAAGUUGGAGGAAAAAAAACAAGAGGCAGAAGAAAAAUGGAAGAGCUCAGAUCCCUUGCCUGUUACUGACAUGGAAGCUGAAGUGAGCAUUGAUCAUGUGGAUAGUGUGGCCAAGGGACAUCUGGAAAUCUAUAGUCUGACAGAUGAACAAAUUCUGGAAAUCUUUUCAUCACUUACAACCAAGGGAUCAAAAUUGUCAGAGAGCACAAUGAUUGAAGAGCUGGUGGAGAAACUUUUAAAUAGGUCAACUUCAGUUCGAAGUAUGAAUGCCCCUCGCUUCAACAAGUUCCUAAGACAGUUGCUGAACCGUUACUGCUGCCUUGAUACCUCUAAGGAAAGCAAACACAGUCUGUGUGAGAAAGCUGUGCAGUGGGCACGAGACCGGAAAAGUGUGAAUCUACGGCAUGAGUUGGAAUUAACCCUUAUGUCUCUGUAUUACAAUACAUGUCACUAUAAGAAGGCAGAGGGAAUAGCAGAUGCCCUCUACAAUGAAACAAAGAAACUCCAGGACAAGGAAAAAACAGUGAAGGCAUGCUUAUGUCUUAGUCAGGUGUACCAUGCAAUGGGUAAUAUUUCAAAAGCUCGAGCCAACAUCACUACUGCCAAGACUGAAGCUCUCAAGAUAUACACUCCACCUGACAUGCAAGGAGAACUUGACUUACAGUCAGGAAUAAUGCAAGUUGCAGAAGGCAAGGACAUGGAAACCGCUUUCUCCUAUUUCAAGGAGGCAGCAACUGGCUUUGUUUCUCACAAGCAGAGAGCAAGGGCUCUUAAGUACAUGCUUCUGUCAAAGAUUAUGAUGAAUAGGACCACUGGUGUCCUCCAAUGUGUUUGUGGUCACCUGCUCCGCGAACAAGCUGGGCCCUGGCUGAAGGCAGCUUUCCACGUCUCACCUCUGCUUCAUUGAUGGAGCCACUCACUGCUUCAGCUGAGGAUGGAUCUGAGGAGGGAGAAAAGGCUGUGCGCAGUCAGAGUCACAUCCAGGACAUAGAUGAGGGAGUGGAGGCUAUGCUUGCCAUUGCUGGUGCUGCCCACAGAUCCUCACUGAUGGAAUUCAGGAAGCUUCGUGAAGUUCAUAAGGAGCACCUGGCUGGAGAUUUAGUGGUGGCUGGGAUCCUGGAUGACCUCUACACCACAAUGAUGGAGAAAAACCUGCUCAAUAUAGUUCUUCCUUAUGAGUGUAUACAGAUUGGGUAUGUAGCAGAAAAAAUUGGUCUGCCUCGAGAAGAAGUGGAGAGGAGAGUUUCCCAGAUGAUCCUUGAUAAACGCAUCAAUGCCCAACUGGACCACCGUGAUGACUGCCUGUAUGUCUAUGCUUCCGUUGAUUCAGAUGUUGUUUACCAAACAGGCCUCAAAACCUUAACUCAGCUGGACAAGACCAUAUCUCAUCUGAACCGUAAGGUGAAGAAACUAUUGUAAUGAAUGUUGCUUAUAGGACAAAGUUUAUAGGAGUUCCUUGACUUGUUGAGGACAUCUUGUUGGAUAACACCACACAUUUAUUGUUCAAUAGUUAAGGUAUUUUGAAAAUUAUAUCUAUCUCAAAGUGUCUUAUAUACUGAGGUGUGAAGUUGUAUGUUUAAUGGUAUAUAGUGAUGGGAUUUCUCUCUGUCUCUCUCUCCUGCUAAAUGCAUUUAGCUGUGGAUUGGAUUUAUAUAUUUCUGUUAUUUUUUAGUUGGAGAUGAGAAUGAUAAUUUGUUUUAUUGGUGGCAUAAAAUGUGAAGCAAAAAGGCCUUUGUUUUGGAUGCCAUAAAACUUAGGUGUAUUAUAUUCAUUUCAAAUAUUUUCUUGCAUCCUGUUAUGUUGAAUACAGACAGAUUUCUCUUUAACUUCAUUUCAACCACAUUCAUAGUAUUUAAGCUUGAAUUGGUUUCCUUUCUGAGUAAUGUAUAUUCCAGGAACUUCAUGUAUAACUGCUUAUUCAUUUGAUCAUAUUCCUUUAUUAUUAUUAUUAUUAUUAUUAUUAUUAUUAUUAUUAUUGAUCAUCAUCAUCAUUGUCAUAAGAUUUUUUCCAUGUGUGUGUGUGUGUGUGUGCGCACUUGCACAGGUGUGUGUGUGUGUGUGUGUGUGUGUGUGUGUGCGAGCGUGCGUGCGUGCGUGCGUGCUCGCCAAUACUUAUGCUUAUGGGAUGUGUGUUUUAACAACUGAGUUAAAAUUCAUGCAUUUAGUCAUAAUUGUGCCAUUUAUCACUUCACCUCUCCCAUGUCCCUAUAAGGACAACUGCAUGUACAUAUUUAUAAUGCUUACAUCCUUAUUAGAACAAUAUCACACAUAUAACCUGUGAGGAUAAUGGUACUGGUCCAUUUAUUUUGAAGCCCUGUGAACACCUGGUGUAUUUGGACAGUGAUGAGUGCUGGUCUUCCUUUCUCAAAUGCUAGACCACCAUUUCACCUGAAGCUCAUGCCUGGUCAAUGUAUCUCCUUAUUUUGUCUCCACAUGUCUGUGGGAAUUUUCACCACAGAACUAGACAUUUACAGGAUAAGGUUAAAUAACUCAGGUUCAUUUCUAUAUCCAUAUUUACCUCAUAUGCAUUGUUGCAAGAUGGUUUUCAUAGUGAUAGUAAGUAAUGUUGAUCCUGCAAUACUAAGGAUAUUUAAAAGCAGCCCAGAUGGCUCUUUUGUGAAAUACAGUAAGACCCAUUUUAUCAGGAAGGGCAAUAUGGAUCAAGUGAUUUUCUGAAUAAAAAGAUGUCAGGUGAUCUAUAACAGAAUAUCCUUUAUAUAGAUUGAAUUGACGAGAAAGAAAAAACUGGAGCAUCCAUGUUCAGCACUAUUACAUUCCUGCCAAAGUUGUUAAUGUAUUUGCAGCAUAAACUUAUUAAUGGUGGCCUUAUUUCUUUUUUUGUUUAUUUAUUCAUUUAUUUAUUUUUUUUUUUAUUGAUUUUUUUGCAGGGUAACCACAGAGACUUACCAAAUACUUAUAAUUAUGUUUCAAAAGCCAUUUAAUCACUUGUGUUUGUAGACAUACCUCCAGGUGAUGUCACCUCUGCAAUGAAGGAGAAUGCCUUCAACUCAGAUCACAAAAUUAUGUCCUUGCCUAAAGUAUUGUGUUCUUUGCCUUUUUUUUUUUUUUUAUAAUGUUAUUAUAAUUGUUCUGCUAAGAGUUUAAUUAUAGGGGGAUGAAAAUGUAGGUUAUUUCUAACAGGAACAAUUAACAUUAGCCAUCAGAUUCUAACCUAGAAAUGAAACAAGUAUAAACAAAUUUAUUACAAACUUUCUUAUGUUAUUCUUUGAUCCUCUUGGCCUCACCAGCAGCAGCUGAAGAGAAUGAGGAGUUCAUGUAUUAGUAAAUUUGUCAGGUCACUAUAGUCUGUUGACAUCCAAGACUGAGUGGAGGUUAAAGAGUUAGCUGAUCUUUAGAAGUAAGCAUUAGGUAAACUUUAGAAGCAAGCAUAAGGCAAACUCCUCCACAAACCUACUGUGAGCUAACCUCUCUAUGCCACAUGUUUAAGCUUGUAUAUUUCUCAUUAUUUUGUUUGCUUUUGAUACAUAAUAUAUUGUUCAUAUAUUUUUAUCUAUCUAUACACCAGGCUGAUAUCUCUCUCAAAGUGGAAUAGGUGAGACAAGUGAAAUUAAAAUUAUGAUGCAUUAGAACUUUGUUGAGUAGAUUUCAAUUUGAUUAAGAUUAAAGUAUGAAUAAAAAAGGGUUGAAUAAAACUGUUUGUAUGAAUAAAAAAGGGUUGAAUAAAACUGUUUGGACA